rnacentral:rRNA from 1 species
AAGUAAAGAAGGGCACACGGGGGAUGCCUUGGCUCUCAGAGGCGAUGAAGGACGUGAUAAGCUGCGAUAAGGCCAGGGGAUGGGCACAUACCAAGUGAUCCUGGCAUUUCCGAAUGGGGCAACCCCACUACGUGAAGCGUAGUGACCAUCCGUUUAACGGAAUGGGGCAAACCCGGGGAACUGAAACAUCUAAGUACCCGGAGGAAAGGACAUCAACGAGACUCCGUCAGUAGUGGCGAGCGAACGCGGAUCAGGCCAGUGCCUGUGUGGAGUUUAUCGGAACGGUCUGGAAUGGCCGGCAAGAGUGGGUGACAGCCCCGUACGAGACGGACGACAUACAGGACUCGAGUAGGGCGGGACACGUGAAAUCCUGUCUGAACAUGGGGGGACCACCCUCCAAGCCUAAGUACUCCUCAGCGACCGAUAGCGAACAAGUACCGUGAGGGAAAGGUGAAAAGCACCCCGACGAGGGGAGUGAAACAGUUCCUGAAACCGGAUGCUUACAAACAGUGGGAGCUCAAGGUUCGUCCUGGGUGACCGCGUACCUUUUGUAUAAUGGGUCAGCGACUUAAAGUUACGAGCAAGCUUAAGCCGGUAGGUGUAGGCGCAGCGAAAGCGAGUCUGAACAGGGCGUUCAGUUCGUGGCUUUAGACCCGAAACCGAGUGAUCUAGCCAUGUGCAGGAUGAAGGUGGGGUAACACCCACUGGAGGUCCGAACCAGUGCCCGUUGAAAAGGUCUUGGAUGACGUGUGGCUAGGGGUGAAAGGCCAAUCAAACUCGGAAAUAGCUGGUUCUCCGCGAAAGCUAUUUAGGUAGCGCCUCGCGUGAAUACCCCAGGGGGUAGAGCACUGGAUGGGCUAGGGCCGCCCACAGCGGUACCGCACUCAACCAAACUCCGAAUACCUGGGAGUACUGCGCGGGAGACACACGGCGGGUGCUAACGUCCGUCGUGAAGAGGGAAACAACCCUGACCUACAGCUAAGGCCCCCAAUUCGUGGCUAAGUGGGAAAGGAUGUGGGAAUCCCAAAACAACCAGGAGGUUGGCUUAGAAGCAGCCACCCUUUAAAGAGUGCGUAAUAGCUCACUGGUCAAGU